rnacentral:rRNA from 1 species
UACGUAGGGGGCUAGCGUUGUCCGGAUUUAUUGGGCGUAAAGAGCGUGUAGGCGGCCAGGUAGGUCCGGUGUGAAAACUCGAGGCUUAACCUCGAGAUGUCAUCGGAAACCAUCUGGCUAGAGUCCGGAAGAGGAAAGUGGAAUUCCCGGUGUAGUGGUGAAAUGCGUAGAGAUCGGGAGGAACACCAGUGGCGAAGGCGGCUCGCUGGGCCGGACCUGACGCUGAGACGCGAAAGCGUGGGGAGCAAACAGG